ACACAGAGGAUUACAAAAACAUGAUGACUCUUCAGAAGAGGUCAUUAUCUUCAAUCGAGAUUCUGCACGCGAAAGUCGCCAGACGCCACAAUCUUCUGAACAUAGUCAUACUGAGAAAUCCAGAGAGAGAGUUGUAAAGACUGAUA